rnacentral:rRNA from 1 species
GACGAACGCUGGCGGCGUGCCUAACACAUGCAAGUUGAGCGACGAACCAGGGCUUGCCCUGGGGCAAAGCAGCGAACGGGUGAGUAACACGUGGGUAACCUGCCCCGACGACCGGGACAACCCGAGGAAACUCGGGCUAAUACCGGAUGUGCCCGCUGGUCACAAGACCGGCUGGCAAAGGAAGCUUCGGCCUCCGCAUCGGGAGGGGCCCGCGGCCCAUUAGCUUGUUGGUGAGGUAACGGCUCACCAAGGCCACGAUGGGUAGCUGGUCUGAGAGGACGAUCAGCCACACUGGGACUGAGACACGGCCCAGACUCCUACGGGAGGCAGCAGUGGGGAAUCUUGCGCAAUGCGCGAAAGCGUGACGCAGCAACGCCGCGUGGGGGAAGAAGGCCUUCGGGUUGUAAACCCCUUUCAGGAGGGACGAAGGCACGGCGGUGAAUAGCCGUCCGUGCUGACGGUACCUCCAGAAGAAGCCCCGGCUAACUACGUGCCAGCAGCCGCAGUAAUAC